GUCUGUGGCCACACCACCCUGAAUGUGCCUGCUCUCAUCUGAUCUCGGAAGCUAAGCAGCAUCAGGCCUGACUAGUACUAGGAGAGGAUAACAUGAAUACUGUUUAAAACUAUAGACA
rnacentral:rRNA from 1 species